UUGGCCCUACGGGACGCAGCAGUGGGGGAUAUUGCACAAUGGGGGAAACCCUGAUGCAGCGACGCCGCGUGAGUGAAGAAGUAAUUCGUUACGUAAAGCUCUAUCAGCAGGGAAGAAAAUGACGGUACCUGACUAAGAAGCCCCGGCUAACUACGUGCCAGCAGCCGCGGUAAUACGUAGGGGGCAAGCGUUAUCCGGAAUUACUGGGUGUAAAGGGAGCGCAGACGGCAGUGCAAGUCUGGAGUGAAAGCCCGUGGCUUACCUACGGGACUGCUCUGGAAACUGUGCAGCUAGAGUGC
rnacentral:rRNA from 1 species